GGGUCAGUAGGUUGGUCGUGCCACCGGUACGUACUGGUCUCACUGAUUCCUCCUUCCUGAAGAACCGUAGUGCCAUUAAUUUGGUGUUGCGGGGAAACAGGACUGUUACUUUGAAAAAAUUAGAGAAUUUAAAGCAAGCUAACGCUUGAAUACAUUAGCAUGGAAUAAUGAAAUAGGACGAUCGAUCCUAUUUUGUUGGUUUCUAGGAUUGACGUA
rnacentral:rRNA from 1 species